UCCGUCGGGUGCGCGCGUUGUUCGGAAUUACUGGGCGUACAGCAUGCGUAGGCGGUUUGGUAAGUUAGAUGUGUAAUCCCCGGGCUCAACUCGGGAGCUGCAUCUAAGACUGCUAGACUAGAAUAUGGUAGGGGGUAAUGGAAUUCUUAGUGUAGGGGUAAAAUCCGUAGAUAUUAAGAGGAACACCAGAAGCGAAGGCGAUUACCUGGGCCAUUAUUGACGCUGAGGCAUGAAAGCGUGGGGAGCAAACAGG
rnacentral:rRNA from 1 species